rnacentral:snoRNA from 2 species
CCCUUCUCAGGGUCUCAUCUGGAGAGUUUCCAGUACUCUACCAGUCUCGAAUACAGGAAGGAGAGUCAAGCAAUGGCAUAUCCAUUCUAUUCCUAGCUUGGGCAGUGGCUAGCAAGUGGAAAGCAAUCUGCUACAAGU